rnacentral:rRNA from 1 species
AUUGAACGCUGGCGGCAUGCCUUACACAUGCAAGUCGAACGGCAGCACGGGAGCAAUCCUGGUGGCGAGUGGCGAACGGGUGAGUAAUAUAUCGGAACGUGCCCAGUCGUGGGGAUAACGUAGCGAAAGCUACGCUAAUACCGCAUACGAUCUAUGGAUGAAAGCGGGGGAUCGCAAGACCUCGCGCGAUUGGAGCGGCCGAUAUCAGAUUAGGUAGUUGGUGAGGUAAAGGCUCACCAAGCCGACGAUCUGUAGCUGGUCUGAGAGGACGACCAGCCACACUGGGACUGAGACACGGCCCAGACUCCUACGGAGGCAGCAGUGGGGAAUUUUUGGACAAUGGGCGCAAGCCUGAUCCAGCAAUGCCGCGUGCCAGGAUGAAGGCCU